GACGAAGGAUCCAAGCGUUAUCCGGAUUUAUUGGGUUAAAGGGUGCGUAGGCGGAUUGAUAAGUCAGUGGUGAAAGCCUGCAGCUUAACUGCAGAACUGCCAUUGAUACUGUCAAUCUUGAAUAUGUUUGAUGUGGGCGGAAUAUGACAUGUAGCGGUGAAAUGCUUAGAUAUGUCAUAGAACACCGAUUGCGAAGGCAGCUCACAAAGCCAUUAUUGACGCUGAGGCACGAAAGCGUGGGGAUCAAACAGG
rnacentral:rRNA from 1 species